rnacentral:rRNA from 1 species
GGGAAUAUUGCGCAAUGGGCGAAAGCCUGACGCAGCGACGCCGCGUGAGGGACGACGGCCUUCGGGUUGUAAACCUCUUUCAGCAGGGACGAAGCGAAAGUGACGGUACCUGCCGACGAAGCACCGGCCAACUACGUGCCAGCAGCCGCGGUAAUACGUAGGGUGCAAGCGUUGUCCGGAAUUAUUGGGCGGAAAGAGCUCGUAGGCGGUCUGUCACGUCGGAUGUGAAAACUCGGGGCGCAACCCCGAGCCUGCAUUCGAUGCGGGCAGACUUGAGUUCGGCAGGGGAGACUGGAAUUCCUGGUGUAGCGGUGAAAUGCGCAGAUAUCAGGAGGAACACCGGUGGCGAAGGCGGGUCUCUGGGCCGAAACUGACGCUGAGGAGCGAAAGCGUGGGGAGCGAAC